rnacentral:rRNA from 1 species
AUUAAAUCUUGUACCUUUUGCAUCAUGGUUUAGCAAGAGACCCCCAAGCAAAAAGAAUUUUAGUUUGCCUACCCGAAACUGGGUGAGCUACUCCAAGACAGCCUAAUUAAUAGGGCAAACCCGUCUCUGUGGCAAAAGAGUGGGAAGAGCUUUGAGUAGAGGUGACAGACCUACCGAACCCAGUUAUAGCUGGUUGCCUGGGAAGUGAAUAGAAGUUCAGCCUCUCAGCUUCUCUAGAACCUUAGAGAGUUAGUCAGAGGGGGUACAGCCCCUUUGACCCAAGACACAACUUUUAAAGGAGGAUAAAGAUCAAAUUUUUUCAAGGCAUUAUGUUUAGGUGGGCCUAAAAGCAGCCAUCCCAAAGAAAAGCGUUAAAGCUUAAACAUAUAAUCCUGAUAAUUACAUCUUAAUCCCCUUUUACUACCAGGCCAUCCCAUACUUCUAUGGGAGUGAUUAUGCUAAUAUGAGUAAUAAGAAGGGGCCUUCUCCAUGCACAAGUGUAUUUCGGAACGGACAAACCACCGAACAUUAACGGCCCCAAACGAAGAGGGCAUUAGAAACCAACCAGAAGACUUUCUACCGUUAACCCCACACUGGUGUGCCAUUCCGGAAAGACUAAAAGAGGGAGAAGGAACUCGGCAAAAAAGCCUCGCCUGUUUACCAAAAACAUCGCCUCUUGCAUAUAUAAGAGGUCCCGCCUGCCCUGUGACUUUACGUUUAACGGCCGCGGUAUUUUGACCGUGCAAAGGUAGCGCAAUCACUUGUCUUUUAAAUGAAGACCUGUAUGAAUGGCACGACGAGGGCUUAACUGUCUCCUUCCUCCAGUCAAUGAAAUUGAUCUCCCCGUGCAGAAGCGGGGCUACACACAUAAGACGAGAAGACCCUGUGGAGCUUUAGACCCGGGGCAAGACCAUGUCAAGAAUACCGGACAAACGAUUUGAACUAAUUGGAACCUUCCCUAAUGUCUUUGGUUGGGGCGACCGCGGGGAAACAAAAAACCCCCAUGUGGAAUGGAAACAUUUCCACAACCAAGAGCCACAGCUCUAAGUAACAGAAUUUCUGACCUACAAGAUCCGGCAAAGCCGAUCAACGGACCCAGUUACCCCAGGGAUAACAGCGCAAUCCUCUUUUAGAGCCCAUAUCGACAAGGGGGUUUACGACCUCGAUGUUGGAUCAGGACAUCCUAAUGGUGCAG